rnacentral:tRNA from 1 species
UGGAUUAUAAGUUAAGUUAAGACUAGAAGCUUUCAGCACUUCAAGUAGGGGCGAUCUCUUGGUCCAA